GACGAACGCUGGCGGCGUGCUUAACACAUGCAAGUCGAACGGUGAAGCGCCUUCCUUUUUGGUGGGUGUGGAUGAGUGGCGAACGGGUGAGUAACACGUGAGUAACCUGCCCCCUUCUUCUGGAUAACCGCAUGAAAGUGUGGCUAAUACGGGAUAUUCUGGGUCUGUCGCAUGAUGGGUCUGGGAAAGAUAUUGUUUCGGUGGGGGAUGGGCUCGCGGCCUAUCAGCUUGUUGGUGGGGUGAUGGCCUACCAAGGCGGUGACGGGUAGCCGGCCUGAGAGGGUGGACGGUCACACUGGGACUGAGACACGGCCCAGACUCCUACGGGAGGCAGCAGUGGGGAAUAUUGGACAAUGGGGGCAAGGCUGAUGCAGGGACGCCGCGGGGGGGAUGGAGGCCUUCGGGGUGUGAACCUCUUUCGCCAGUGAAGCAGGCCUGCCUCGUUUGUGGGUGGGUUGACGGUAGCUGGAUAAGAAGCGCCGGCUAACUACGUG
rnacentral:rRNA from 1 species